AGCUUUGCGCAGUGGCAGUAUCGUAGCCAAUGAGGUUUAUCCGAGGUGUGAUUAUUGCUAAUUGAU
rnacentral:snRNA from 1 species